CGAAAGGGAGAGGAAUACGUAGAAAUCUACCCCUGAGACCGGGAUAGCGUCGGGAAACUGGCAGUAAUACCGGAUAAUGUCUUAGGACCAAAGGUGUGAUUCCACUUGGGGAUGAGUCUACGCCCUAUUAGCUAGNUGGUGGGGUAAUGGCCUACCAAGGCGAUGAUGGGUAGCGGGUGUGAGAGCAUGAUCCGCCUCACUGGGACUGAGAACUGCCCAGACACCUACGGGUGGCUGCAGUCGAGAAUCUUUGUCAAUGGACGAAAGUCUGAACAAGCGACGCCGCGUGCGGGAUGAAGGCCUUCGGGUUGUAAACCGCUGUCGUAGGGGAACAAAUGUACGGGGGUACUCCCCUGUAUUUGAGUGAUCCUUGGAGGAAGGAGAGGCUAAGCUCGUGCCAGCAGCCGCGGUAAGACGAGCUCUCCAAACGUUAUUCGGUAUCACUGGGCUUAAAGAGUUCGUAGGCGGCCUGACAGGUCAGGUGUGAAAUCCCUCGGCUCAACCGAGGAAUUGCGCUUGAAACCGUCAGGCUUGAGGGAGAUAGAGGUGAGCGGAACAGAUGGUGGAGCGGUGAAAUGCGUUGAUAUCAUCUGGAACACCGGUGGCGAAAGCGGCUCACUGGAUCUUUUCUGACGCUGAGGAACGAAAGCUAGGGUAGCGAACGGGAUUAGAUACCCCGGUAGUCCUAGCCGUAAACGAUGAGCACUAGUCUGAGGGGA
rnacentral:rRNA from 1 species